ensembl:lncRNA
GUAGGAUUUGUUUCAUUUAAAAGUCAUGACAGUUUUAAACGUUUUGCCUUUGCUGAUGUGUACAUAUCGAAUAUCAACAUACACAUUUAAUAUUGUAGGGAACCAGCCCCAGCCUCAGCCUCAGCCUCAGCCUCAGGCCUUUGCCCUGGCCGAGCCCCUGGCCCAGCCCCAGGCCCUGGCCCUGGCCGAGCCUGAGCCUCAAUAUCAUAUAUUGGACCUAUACCCUGUCUUGCCCCAGCCCGAGCCCCAGCCCCAGGCCCUGGCCCAGCCCCAGCCUCAGCCCGAGCCCCAGCCCCAGGCCCUGGCCCAGCCCCAGCCCCAGGCCCUGGCCCAGCCCCAGCCUCAGGCCCUGGCCCAGCCCCAGCCUCAGGCCCUGGUCCAGCCCCGGGCCCAGCACCAGCCCCAGGCCCUGGCCCAGCCCCAGCCUCAAUAUCAUAUAUUGGACCUAUACCCUGUCUUGCCCCAGGCCCUAGCCCAGCCCCAGCCUCAGCCCGAGCCCCAGCCCCAGGCCCUGGCCCAGCCCCAGCCUCAGGCCCUGGCCCUAGCCCAGCCCCAGCCUCAGGCCCUGGCCCAGCACCAGCCCCAGUCUCAGGCCCUGGCCGAGCACCAGCCUCAGGCCCUGGCCCAGCACCAGCCCCAGCCUCAGGCCCAGCCCCAGCCUCAGGCCCUGGCCCAGCACCAGUCUCAGGCCCUGGCCCAGCACCAGCCUCAGGCCCUGGCCCAGCACCAGCCCCAGCCUCAGGCCCAGCCCCAGCCUCAGGCCCUGGCCCAGCACCAGUCUCAGGCCCUGGCCCAGCACCAGCCUCAGGCCCUGGCCCAGCACCAGCCCCAGGCCCUGGCCCAGCCCCAGCUACAGGCCCUGACCCAGUCCAAGCACCAGCCUCAGGCCCUGGCCCAGCACCAGCCCCAGGCCCAGCCCCAGCCUCAGGCCCUGGCCCAGCACCAGCCCCAGCCUCAGGCCCUGGCCCAGCACCAGCCCCAGGCCCAGCCCCAGCCUCAGGCCCUGGCCAAACCCCCCCACCAAAAAAGAAAGUGUUGCCGGAAAUGUAGUAGGCAAAAAAUAUUUCAUUAUGACGCCGUCACAGAAAGGAGGAUGAAUGAGGGGCGAGCAGAAGUAAGGGUGAGAUGGUUACCUUGCUCUGCAUGUGGAAAAACCUGGGAGGAGACAUGGGAGCUGGCCUGCCAGUUCCCAUCCUAAGAUGCCGG